GUAGUAGUAGUAGUAGUAGUAGUGGAGGUAGUAGUAGAGGUAGUAGUAGAGGUAGUAGUAGAGGUAAUGGUAGUAGUAGUAGUAGUAGAGGUAAUGGUAGUAGUAGUAGUAGUAGUAGUAGUAGUGGAGGUAGUAGUAGAGGUAGUAGUAGAGGUAAUGGUAGUAGUAGUAGUAGUAGUAGUAGUAGAGGUAGUAGUAUUGGUAAUGGUAGUAGUAGAGGUAAUGGUAGUAGUAGUGGUAGUAGUAGUAGAGGUAGUAGUAGUGGUAGUAGAGGUAGUAGUAGUAGUAGAGGUAAUGGUAGUAGUAGUGGUAGUAGUAUAGGUAGUAGUUGUGAUAGUAGUAGAGGUAAUGGUAGUGGUAGUAGUAGUGGUGGUAGUAGUAGUAGUAGUAGUAGUAGUAGUAGUAAUGGUGGUAGUAGUAGUAGUAGUAGUUGUAGUAGUAGUAAUGGUGGUAGUAGUAGUAGUAGUAGUUGUAGUAGUAGUAGUAAUGGUGGUAGUAGUAGUAGUAGUAGUAGAGGUAAUGGUAGUGGUAGUAGUAGUGGUAGUAGUAAUGGUGGUAGUAGUAGUAGUAGUAGUAAUGGUGGUAGUAGUAGUAGUAGUAGUAAUGGUGGUAGUAGUAGUAGUAGUAGUAGUAAUGGUAGUAGUAGUAGUAGUAGUAGUAGUAGUAGUAGUAGUAGUAGAGGUAAUGGUAGUGGUAAUAGUAGUGGUAGUAGUAGUAGUGGUAGUAGUAGUAAUGGUGGUAGUAGUAGUAGUAGAGGUAGUAGUAGUGGUAGUGGUAGUAGUAGUAGUAGUAGUGGAGGUAGUAGUAGAGGUAGUAGUAGAGGUAGUAGUAGAGGUAAUGGUAGUAGUAGUAGUAGUAGUAGUAGUAGUAGUAGUAGAGGUAAUGGUAGUAGUAGUAGUAGAAGUAGUAGUAGUAGUAGUAGAGGUAAUGGUAGUAGUAGUAGUAGUAGUAGUAGUAGUAGUGGAGGUAGUAGUAGAGGUAGUAGUAGAGGUAAUGGUAGUAGUAGUAGUAGUAGUAGUAGUGGUAGUAGUAGAGGUAGUAGUAUUGGUAAUGGUAGUAGUAGAGGUAAUGGUAGUAGUAGUGGUAGUAGUAGUGGUAGUAGAGGUAGUAGUAGUGGUAGUAGUAGUAGUAGAGGUAAUGGUAGUAGUAGUGGUAGUAGUAGUAGAGGUAGUAGUAGUGGAGGUAGUAGUUGUGAUAGUAGUAGAGGUAAUGGUAGUGGUAGUAGUAGUGGUGGUAGUAGUAGUAGUAGUAGUAGUAGUAGUAGUAGUAGUAGUAGUAGUAGUAAUGGUGGUAGUAGUAGUAGUAGUAGUAGUGGUAGUAGUAGUAGUUGUAGUAGUAGUAGUAGUAGAGGUAAUGGUAGUGGUAGUAGUAGUGGUAGUAGUAGUAGUAGUAGUGGUAGUAGUAGUAGAAGAGGUAAUGGUAGUAGUAGUAGUAGUGGAGGUAGUAGUUGUGAUAGUAGUAGUGGUAAUGGUAGUGGUAGUAGUAGUAGUAGUAGUAGUAGUAGUAGUAGUAGUAGUAGUAGUAGUAGUAGUAAUGGUGGUAGUAGUAGUAGUAGUGGUAGUAGUAGUAGUUGUAGUAGUAGUAGUAAUGGUGGUAGUAGUAGUAGUAGUAGUAGAGGUAAUGGUAGUGGUAGUAGUAGUAGUGGUAGUAGUAGUAAUGGUGGUAGUAGUAGUAGUAGAGGUAGUAGUAGUAGUAGUAAUGGUGGUAGUAGUAGUAGUAGUAGUAGUAGUAGUAGUGGUAGUAGUAGUAGUAGUAGUAGUAGAGGUAAUGGUAGUAGUAUUGGUAGUAGUAGUAGUGGUAGUAGUAGUAAUGGUGGUAGUAGUAGUGGUAGUAGUAGUAAUGGUGGUAGUAGUAGUAGUAGUAGAGGUAGUAGUAGUAGUAGUAGAGGUAAUGGUAGUGGUAAUAGUAGUGGUAGUAGUGGUAGUAGUAGUAAUGGUGGUAGUAGUAGUAGUAGUAGAGGUAGUAGUAGUGGUAGUGGUAGUAGUAGAGAUAAUGGUAGUAGUAGUGGUAGUAGUAGAGGUAAUGGUAGUAGUAGUAGUAGUAGUAGUAGAGGUAGUAGUAGAGGUAAUGGUAGUAGUAGUAGUAGUAGUAAUAGUAGUAGAGGUAAUGGUAGUAGUAGUAGUAGUGGUAGAGGUAAUGGUAGUAGUAGUAGUAGUGGUAAUGGUAGUAGUAGUAGUAGUAGAGGUAAUGGUAGUAGUAGUAGUAGUAGUAGUAGUAGUAGUAGUAGUAAUGGUGGUAGUAGUAGUAGUAGUAGUAGUAGUAGUAGUAGUAAUGGUAGUAGUAGUAGUAGUAGUAGUAGUAGUAGUAGUAGUAGUAGUAGUAGAGGUAAUGGUAGUGGUAAUAGUAGUGGUAGUAGUAGUAGUGGUAGUAGUAGUAAUGGUGGUAGUAGUAGUAGUAGUAGUAGAGGUAGUAGUAGUGGUAGUGGUAGUAGUAGUAGUAGUAGUGGAGGUAGUAGUAGAGGUAGUAGUAGAGGUAGUAGUAGAGGUAAUGGUAGUAGUAG
rnacentral:lncRNA from 1 species